UGUCUUGCCCCGGCAAGGGGUACAGACUGACAGGAAAAACGUAAAGCUCUAUUUGCUCUAAGUCCUCUUAGAACAUGUUGAACAUCAACACUGAAAACAAUGUAAAACCUCUUGUUUACGUUUCACAACAGCGUAGAGUGAAGAAAUAUGACAACGGGAAGCGUUGGAGGAAAAAUAGGGCGAAAAUAGGCGGACUGAUUACUGUUCCAACUGCUGUUACUUAACUGUACCUGAAGUGUCUGAGGGCCGGAUCGCAGUGGAUAGGUCCGGAGGUUUGGAUUUAGCCGCCUUGUCCGUCUUUUCGUUAUCCUCCAUACCUAUCUGUCCGGGUACCUAGACGAAAAUCACCGUUUGCAAGCUAUGGAGGCUGAUUAAAACAAAUACGUAUUAAUAAAUGAGGAAAGACAGAAUGGAAAAAAGUACCAUUUCAUGGUCGAUUGGUCUGCGGUCGGUUGAUGACUUGGAUCUACGAGGAAGGUGCCGAAAUCAAGCUUGAAGAAACAAACGGGACUCAUGAAACAAUGUAAAAAAAAAGUUUUAUUACAAAAAUUAAUAAAAAGUAUUAACAAUAAAACGUC
rnacentral:lncRNA from 1 species